rnacentral:tRNA from 1 species
GCCUGUGUUGCUCAGUGGAUAGAGCCCUGGCCUGUAGACCAAAGGGUCCCGGGUUCGAUUCCUGUCAAGGGCA